rnacentral:rRNA from 1 species
ACUCCUGCGGGAGGCAGCAGUGGGGAAUUUUACGCAAUGGGGGAAACCCUGACGUAGCGACACCGCGUGAGCGAAGAAGCCCUUUGGGGUGUAAAGCUCUGUCAGCUGGAACGAAAACAAUGACGGUACCAGCAGAGGAAGCAUCGGCUAACUACGUGCCAGCAGCCGCGGUAAGACGUAGGAUGCGAGCGUUGUCCGGAUUUAUUGGGCGUAAAGAGUUCGUAGGUGGUUUGUUAAGUUUGGUGUUAAAGAUCGGGGCUCAACCCUGGGACUGCACUGAAUACUGGCAGACUCGAGUGUGGUAGAGGCUAGUGGAAUUCCCAGUGUAGCGGUGAAAUGCGUAGAUAUUGGGAAGAACACCGGUGGCGUAGGCGACUAGCUGGGCCAUAACUGACGCUGAGGAACGAAAGCCAGGGGAGCGAAUGGGAUUAGAAACCCGUGUAGUCC